UUAUAAUAAAGUGACGCAAAUAACUCUUUUGGCUUUAGGUUUUCUGCGUUUUUUUUACCUUAGUUUUUCUUCACAUGCGCCUACAUUCACUAAUCAAAAAGAAAAAAAACAAGAGUUCUUCAAUUCUAGUGAAUUUCUACAGCAAAACACCCACAAAUUCGUCUCUGAAAUCCAACAAAUUAGGCCAAAAAACUGCGAUUCCCCAGCAAAUUUAACAUCUAAAUUAAAAUUGCAGUCAAGUUGAAGCAAAUCCGAGCAAUUUCGAGCAAAAAUUUAGACCAAAAACCCCAAGAAAUUCGAACCCUUAGACCCAGAAAAAUUGAUUGUUUCCGACCAAAAAUCCCCCAUUUCGAGCAAAAAAUCAACUCAAACGCGUUUCAGAAUUAUAGGUUUGAUCCUCAGUUGUAUGUUCAGUCCAAAUACUCUCUUAAUGAGAAGGAUGCCAUUCAGCCAUUCCUCAUCAAGCUAACUGAGAAAUAUGAUAAAAAAAUUGUUCUUGAACCCCCAUAAAGAAUGAGUUAAUUAUUGGGGCUUUGAUCACUAGAGUUAGACAACUUCAACAGCUAAGUUUGGUCAUUGAUAAGCUAGGAAUGACAGGAGUAACAAGUUCAUUCGAUGUGAAGCUGUAGAAGGUACUGACAGCAAUAGAAAAAAAGAGAAAAGACAUGGAUUAGUAUAAGAUCUAAAUUCCAUGUAGUGUCCUCAACAAUUGGGUGGACGUGAGUGUGGCUACUACGUCAUGCGUUAUAUGUACGAAAUACUUGACAUCACCAUAGCAGUGAGGAUCUUAUUCAGGAUUUUUCAAGAACUACACCGUACACCGAGGAGGAGAUAAAUGAGAUUCGAGAUAUUUGGGCAGAGUAUUUUAUAUGUAAUGUUGAACUUUAGAUUUACACUUAGCGCAUGUUGGACUCUUGUUUUGGAUUAUAGGCUUGAAAUGAAUGAAUUUGGUUAAUUGGUGUUGGGAUGAUGAGUAUAAUGUCUAUGAUAUUGAGAUGUAAUUUAUUAGACAGGUUGUUAAUAUAAUUUCGUCAUUCCCAAUUUUACGGGUAGGCCAAA